GCGUUUCUGUAGCGGUGUGGGUUUUUUACGGGAUGGGGUCGCUAGCCCCAUGCCCAACCCUCUUCCUUUAUCUGGACUUGGGACCUGCAGGGGACCCCGAAGGAAUCCCUCAGUGGAGUUAAUACAAAACUCUGAAUAACAUAAAAUACACAAUAAAAAAAAAAACACAAUACAUGUAGACAAUUAUUUUGUCACAUGUAACAUAUCGAAAACACACACAUGCAUAAAUAAAUAUUUCACAUUAACAACUGCUAUCAACAAUUUCCAACACAUUUGAACCCCCCUGCCAUAAUGGUUUAUUCCCCAAAAAAGGGGUGGGAACUUCCCAUGAUUCACUAUAAAGACAGUCCAAAGGGGCUGAUUUUGUUUGAUAGUGAGGAAACAAUGCCUAGUAGGCAUGAGAGAUUGCUUGGCAAAACAGCAGGAAUGACCAAGCAAAGGGUUGCAGCGAACUGAAGCCUAACCCAGCAACACGGUGCGAGGCUGGAGGGGGAGGGGACACACCCAAGAUAGGACGUCAGUCCGUUGCAAGGCACUCCAAGGAGGACUCAAACCCCAGACCCAUCAGACAGCAGGACCCGGUCAAACCCACGGCACCAGUGUACUCCCCGUAUCUCAGUCCUUCCUUUUCAAUUCAAAUAUGGACUUCAAAAAAACAGAAAAGACAUGAGGGAGCUAACAUCCACUGUUGUAUCCUUCAAGCACUGUGCUGAAUUUUUUUCUCAACAGGUUCAUUCAGCACUUAACUUUUAGGUGAACCUAUAACACAGCUUUUAUUUGGACUCCAGGAUUGAGUUUGUGUUCUAUGAUUAGAAAUGUACACAUGCAGCCUUAUUACAUAGUUUCUGUAAACUUGAUAGUGGGUGGAGUCUAGUCAGACUUGACAUUACACUGUGGUACAAUAGCAUUUUCUGAAGAUAUUUGUGGUAAAGACUGAACAUCCCCAUUGAAAUACAUUCGUAAAGGUAGCUCUUCUGUUAAUAUCAGUGUUCUUCAGUGAUAAUAUACUAAAGAGCGGGACGUGCAGAUGCAUUCAUGUAUGUAUGUGGACUCUCUCCAUAAGUGGUUGCCAAAGCUGUGUUCACCUUUUGGUACCUAAGUUUGGGGGGGUUACCCAUACAAGGUGAAUAAUCAAACAUAAAUUAAUACAACACAUUCAGCCAACCAGCUGAAGGCGAUGUGGACUACCUGAAGCUUAGAUUUUUAUAGCACAAUGAGAAAUAUGUGAGGCACUUCCAUUAUUCAUGCGUGGCCUUGAGCUGCAUUUGACUAGUGAAUUAACUCAUUAAUCUGAAGCUUGGAGGAACCAACCUUACAUUUGCUUGGGGACCCUACUAAAUGUGAGCCCUUUAGAUCCUUGCUAAAAAAUAUAGUAAAAAGCAUGAACCCCAACAAAAGUGAUUUGAAGAGCAUUUUCCCAGGGGCGGUGGUGGCUUAAGACAGGUGCUUAUAAAAU
rnacentral:lncRNA from 1 species